CAUGCAAGUCGAGCGAGAAGCUAACUUCGGUUAGUGGAAAGCGGCGCACGGGUGAGUAACGCGUGGGAAUUUACCUUUUGGUGGGGGACAACAGUUGGAAACGACUGCUAAUACCGCAUAUACCCUACGGGGGAAAGAUUUAUCGCCAAAAGAUGGGCCCGCGUUAGAUUAGGUAGUUGGUAGGGUCAAAGCCUACCAAGCCUACGAUCUAUAGCUGGUUUGAGAGAACGAUCAGCCACAUUGGAACUGAGACACGGUCCAGACUCCUACGGGAGGCAGCAGUGGGGAAUCUUGCACAAUGGGCGAAAGCCUGAUGCAGCCAUGCCGCGUGAGUGAGAAGGCCUUCGGGUUGUAAAACUCUUUUAGAUGUGAAGAUGAUGACGGUAACAUCAGAAAAAGCCCCGGCUAACUUCGUGCCAGCAGCCGCGGUAAUACGAAGGGGGCUAGCGUUGUUCGGAAUUACUGGGCGUAAAGAGCGUGUAGGCGGCUAGAUAAGUUAGGGGUGAAAUCCCGGAGCUCAACUUCGGAAUUGCCUUUGAUACUGUCUAGCUUGAGAUUGCGAGGGGAUAGCGGAAUACCCAGUGUAGAGGUGAAAUUCGU
rnacentral:rRNA from 1 species